rnacentral:rRNA from 1 species
GGUUGAUCCUGCCAGUAGUCAUAUGCUUGUCUCAAAGAUUAAGCCAUGCAUGUCUAAGUAUAAACCAAUUUAUACGGUGAAACUGCGAAUGGCUCAUUAAAUCAGUUAUAGUUUAUUUGAUAGUACCUUGUUACUUGGAUAACUGUGGUAAUUCUAGAGCUAAUACAUGCUAAAAAUCCCGACUUCUGGAAGGGAUGUAUUUAUUAGAUAAAAAACCAACUCGGGCAACCGAUUUUCUGGUGAUUCAUAAUAACUUUUCGAAUCGUAUGGCUUUAUGCCGACGAUGUUUCAUU